ACUCAAAUGAAUUGACGGGGGCCCGCACAAGCGGUGGAGCAUGUGGUUUAAUUCGAUGCAACGCGAAGAACCUUACCUACCCUUGACAUACAGUGGAUUUUGCAGAGAUGCAUUAGUGCCUUUGGGAACACUGAUACAGGUGCUGCAUGGCUGUCGUCAGCUCGUGUCGUGAGAUGUUGGGUUAAGUCCCGUAACGAGCGCAACCCUUAUUCUUAGUUACCAGCACGUGAAGGUGGGGACUCUAAGGAGACUGCCGGUGACAAGCCGGAGGAAGGCGGGGACGACGUCAAGUCAUCAUGGCCCUUACGGGUAGGGCUACACACGUGCUACAAUGGCUGAUACAGAGGGCGGCGAAGGGGUGACCUGGAGCAAAUCUUAGAAAGUCGGUCGUAGUCCGGAUUGGAGUCUGCAACUCGACUUCAUGAAGUCGGAAUCGCUAGUAAUCGCGAAUCAGCAUGUCGCGGUGAAUACGUUCCCGGGCCUUGUACACACCGCCCGU
rnacentral:rRNA from 1 species